ACCGGGCGCGGGGGCGCGUGCCUGUAGUCCCAGCUACUCGGGAGGCUGAGGUGGGAGGAUUGCUUGAGCCCAAGAGUUCUGGGCUGUAGUGCGCUGCUGAUCGGGUGUCCGCACUAAGUUCGGCAUCAAUAUGGUGACCUCCCGGGAGUGGGGGACCACCAGGUUGCCUAAGGAGGGGUGAACCGGCCCAAGUCGGAAACGGAGCAGGUCAAAAUCCCAUGCUGAUCAGUAGUGGGAUCACGCCUAUGAAUAGCCACUGCACUCCAGCCUGGGCAACAUAGCGAGACCCCGUCUCU
rnacentral:SRP_RNA from 1 species